GGAGGCUGAGAGAUUAAAAACUCUCCAAACAUUUUAAAAGCUGAUAUCUGGUCUCAUUUUGGAUUUUAUGAACAGAUUGGGAAGCAUCAACUGAACAAGUCGGAGCUGAGGUACAAGGUUCCGUCGGGCUGCCACUUUACAGAAAAGGUUAUACCAGCUCUUUACCAUGAAACCAGAGCCCAGAUAACAGCGUCAAUGAGCAAAGCUAGUCGGGCAGCAAUAACGUGAUUCAUGGACUUCAGUGGCAACAGAAUGUAAACAGAGGAGUGACUGAAGAGGCAGCAUCCUUGGAGAACGAGUGUAUUCUUACUGGGGAGACAAAAGUGGUUGAAGUGUCUGAGGGAACAGAAACUCUGGAAGAAAAAACACCAAUGGAAAACGCCCCCUCUUCUCCCAAAAGAAAGGCCUCAUCGUUGCUUGUGAGUUUGCUGGGACAGUCUUUCAGUGAUACUGAAGGUAAAGUAGAACCAAAGACCCCCUAUGCAACGGCUGAAGUGGAAAUGAACAGGUACUGCAAAGCCUCAUCCCUGCCUCUGACUUGAGGACCCCUUGAAUUGAUGGCAGUCUCUGUCAAUGCAAUUCGGAAAACCUGCAGCUCCAGUUUUCAAAACUCUAAGAACUCGAGUGCUCACCAGGAUGGUAGAAAUUAUAAAGGAAGGAGUAGAAACCUGUUUCUUCUGCCACAGAGGUGGGAUGGUCUGGGGACUAACAUGCCAAAGUCAGAAAAUGAA